GAUUUCUGGUUGAACGUGUUUGGCCCGCCAUGGUUUCAUGUGUGAGUGCCUUGAUUCGUUCGUCCAUCCUUCUAGUACGUGUGCAUCGCUCUUCAGUGAGCGAGUGUGACACGCUCUAGAUCGUUUACUUUGAAAAAAUUAGAGUGUUUCAAGCAGGCUUUAUGCUAUGAAUACAUUAGCAUGGAAUAAUAAUUUAGGACUUCGGUUCUAUUUUGUUGGUUUCUAGGACUGAAGUAAUGAUUGAUAGGGAUAGUUGGGGGUGCUAGUAUUCAGCGGCCAGAGGUGAAAUUCUCGGAUUCGCUGAAGACUAACUUAUGCGAAAGCAUU
rnacentral:rRNA from 1 species